ACUCCUGCGGGAGGCAGCAGUGGGGAAUAUUGCACAAUGGGCGCAAGCCUGAUGCAGCCAUGCCGCGUGUAUGAAGAAGGCCUUCGGGUUGUAAAGUACUUUCAGCGGGGAGGAAGGCGAUAAGGUUAAUAACCUUGUCGAUUGACGUUACCCGCAGAAGAAGCACCGGCUAACUCCGUGCCAGCAGCCGCGGUAAUACGGAGGGUGCAAGCGUUAAUCGGAAUUACUGGGCGUAAAGCGCACGCAGGCGGUCUGUCAAGUCGGAUGUGAAAUCCCCGGGCUCAACCUGGGAACUGCAUUCGAAACUGGCAGGCUAGAGUCUUGUAGAGGGGGGUAGAAUUCCAGGUGUAGCGGUGAAAUGCGUAGAGAUCUGGAGGAAUACCGGUGGCGAAGGCGGCCCCCUGGACAAAGACUGACGCUCAGGUGCGAAAGCGUGGGGAGCAAACAGGAUUAGAAACCCCUGUAGUCCCAUGA
rnacentral:rRNA from 1 species